rnacentral:rRNA from 1 species
AUUAGAGUUUGAUCAUGGCUCAGAUUGAACGCUGGCGGCAGGCUUAACACAUGCAAGUCGAACGGGGUGAUGGUGCUUGCACAUCACUUAGUGGCGAACGGGUGAGUAAUGCCUAGGAAUCUGCCCAUUAGCGGGGGAUAACGUGUGGAAACGCACGCUAAUACCGCAUACGCCCUACGGGGGAAAGCAGGGGAUCUUCGGACCUUGCACUAAUGGAUGAGCCUAGGUCAGAUUAGCUAGUUGGUGGGGUAAAGGCCCUACCAAGGCGACGAUCUGUAGCGGGUCUGAGAGGAUGAUCCGCCCACACUGGGACUGAGACACGGCCCAGACUCCUACGGGAGGCAGCAGUGGGGAAUAUUGGACAAUGGGGGAAACCUGAUCCAGCCAUGCCGCGUGUGUGAAGAAGGCCUUUUGGUUGUAAAGCACUUUAAGCGAGGAGGAGGCUACCCUGACUAAUAUUCAGGAGUAGUGGACGUUACUCGCAGAAUAAGCACCGGCUAACUCUGUGCCAGCAGCCGCGGUAAUACAGAGGGUGCGAGCGUUAAUCGGAAUUACUGGGCGUAAAGCGCGCGUAGGCGGUUUAUUAAGUCGGAUGUGAAAUCCCUGAGCUUAACUUAGGAAUUGCAUUCGAUACUGGUAAGCUAGAGUAUGGGAGAGGAAGGUAGAAUUCCAGGUGUAGCRGUGAAAUGCGUAGAGAUCUGGAGGAAUACSRUGGCGAAGCACCUUCUGCCUAAWACGACGCUGAGUGCGAAAGCAUGGGAGCAAACAGGAUUAGAUACCCUGGUAGUCCAUGCCGUAAACGAUGUCAACUAGCCGUUGGGGGAUUUGAUCCUUUAGUGGCGCACUAACGCGAUAAGUUGACCGCCUGGGAGUACGGUCGCAAGACUAAAACUCAAAUGAAUUGACGGGGGCCCGCACAAGCGGUGGAGCAUGUGGUUUAAUUCGAUGCAACGCGAAGAACCUUACCUGGUCUUGACAUAGUGAGAAUCCUGCAGAGAUGCGGGAGUGCUUCGGGAAUUCACAUACAGGUGCUGCAUGGCUGUCGUCAGCUCGUGUCGUGAGAUGUUGGGUUAAGUCCCGCAACGAGCGCAACCCUUUUCCUUAUUUGCCAGCACUUCGGGUGGGAACUUUAAGGAUACUGCCAGUGACAAACUGGAGGAAGGCGGGGACGACGUCAAGUCAUCAUGGCCCUUACGACCAGGGCUACACACGUGCUACAAUGGUCGGUACAAAGGGUUGCUACUCCGCGAGGAGAUGCUAAUCUCAAAAAGCCGAUCGUAGUCCGGAUUGGAGUCUGCAACUCGACUCCAUGAAGUCGGAAUCGCUAGUAAUCGCGGAUCAGAAUGCCGCGGUGAAUACGUUCCCGGGCCUUGUACACACCGCCCGUCACACCAUGGGAGUUUGUUGCACCAGAAGUAGGUAGUCUAACCCUCGGGAGGACGCUUACCACGGUGUGGCCGAUGACUGGGGUGAAGUCGUAACAAGGUAGCCGUAAAU